GGAGAGAGUGGGUGAUUUCUGGCCACAAGGCCAGCCACCGUCCGGUCACUGGACCGCCGCCGGCCACCGUCGGUGCCACCUUACACGGCAGCCGAACCUCAAAAAAAACUAUUUCGGUAAAAAUGGGAAAGUUUCCUCCUUUUAUUUUUACUUUUGUAUAAAAGAAACAAAAUAAAACUGAAAGGAAAACAAUAAGCAAAGAAAGAACUUAAAACGAGAAUAGACUAAGAAACCUCUUUUGCUUUGAUAUUUGAUUAAUCUCCAAAAAAAAAAACUAGCCUCUCCAAAAACUAGCCUUUACAAUAACUCUUCUCCUUGAUUACUCUAAAAAAACCUCUCAAAAAUCCUUUACAAUAACUUUCUCCCCCAAAACUUCUUCCUCCCCUAAAUACAAAAUAUGAGAAGGCUUAUAUAGCCAUUUACCAAAUAUUUUUUAUUGUUUAUGUCUUCAUUUGUAGGUGCAAGUGGUGGUGGAGCAAGUGUGGCUAGUGGAGUAGGUGGUGGAGCAAGUGUGGCUAGUGGAGUUGGUGGUGGCAAAGGCAAGGAUUUAGUUAAGAAAAGUUUAGGUUGUGGGCUAGGGUUUUGAUGUAAAUUGGGCUUUGGGUAGUUAAGAUUUUGGGUUUAGGGUUUAAUUUUGGUGGGUUAGGUAAGGUUAAAUUGGGUUUUGAUGUAAAUGGGUUAAAAUUGGCCUACAACAGCUGCCCCUCUUUGCUUUUUAUCGUGUAACGGGAAUAAAGCAAAGACACAAAGAAAGGUCAAUUUUGCUUGGUCUUGCUAAGUAUGGACUUCUUUGGUGCUCUUCUCAUCCAGGUAGUCUCUUUCCAAACCAUUGUAUCUUGUCUUGAUCAAAUCCACUGCAUUUUCUGAUAUAUGUCUUGUAGCUUCGAUUUACUCCAAGGUGACUUCAAAAAGAUAAGAUCUACAGCUUCAAUCGACUCUUCCAUCGCUUUAGUCAGAUAAAAUUUGUGGUCUUCUCUUCUGCAACUUUUAGAAAGGUAAGAUCUGAUAUCAUCGAUCAGCUCCACUGCAACUUCAAUUAGCUUCACUGUAACUUCAAGGAUAUAAAAUCUGUGUCUUCGAUUAAUUCCAGUCUUUAUUCUUUACUCGGCAUGUGAUCCUGAGCUUAACUCAUUUCUCGCAAUAUGAAUUGACUCUUUAAAACUAAACAUUAAAAACAGAAAUUGAAAAUAGCUCAGCACGUGAGCCAAGGCUCAACUCACUUUUCGCAAUAUGAGUUGAUUUUUAAUACAUCGGUAUGUGACCCGAGGCUCAACUCACCUCUCAUAAUAUGAGUUGAUUUUUGCAAAGCAUAAAUUGAAAAAAAAAAUAAAAAUAAAAAUCAAUUGAAAAUACCUCGGUGUGUGAUCUGAGGCUCAACUCACCUCUCGCAAUAUGAGUUGAUUUUUUUAACAAAAUAAAUUGAAAAGAAAUUAAAAAUAUCUCAGCGUGUCCUGAGGUUGAACUCAGCUCUCGCAAUAUGAGUUGAUUUUUUGAAAAAACAAAAUUUGAAAAUACCUCAGCGUGUGAGUCAAGACUCAACUCACCACUCGCAAUAUGAGCUAAUUUUUUUUUGAAACACAGAAAUGGAAAACACAUCAGCAUCUUGAGGUUCAACUCACCUCUCGCAAUAUGAGCUAAUUUUUUUUGAAAGACAGAAAUUGAAAAUACCUCAACAUGUCUUGAGGCUCAACUCACCUCUCGCAAUAUGAGUUAAUUUUUGACAAACAAAAAUUGAAAUUACCUCAGCGUCUUGAGGUUCAACUCACCUAUCGCAAUAUGAGUUGAUUUUUUUGAAAAACAGAAAUUGAAAACACCUCAACGUAUCUUGAGGUUCAACUAACCUCUCGCAAUAUGAGCUGAUUUCUUUUAAAGAUAGAAAUUGAAAAUACCUCAACGUGUCUUGAGGCUCAACUCACCUCUCGCAAUAUGAGUUGAUUUUUGACAAACAAAAAUUGAAAUUACCUCAGUGUGUCCUGAGGCUCAAGUUAAUUUUUUUGAAAAACAGAAAUUGAAAAUACCUCAACGUGACUUGAGGUUCAACUCACCUCUUGCAAUAUGAGUUGAGUUUUGACAAACAAAAAUUGAAAUUACCUCAGCGUGUCCUGAGGCUCAACUCACUUCUCGCAAUAUGAGUUGAUUUUUUUAGAAACAUAAAUUUAAAAAACGAAAAUUGAAAAUACCUCAACGUGUCCUGAGGCUCAACUCACCUCUUGCAAUAUGAGUUGAUUUGAAAAGCAGAAUUUGUAAGGCAAAAAUUGAAAAACAGAAAUUGAAAAUACCUCAACGUGCCCUGAGGCUCAACUCACUUCUUGCAAUAUGAGUUGAUUUUUGAAAAACAGAAAUUAAAAACAGAAAUUGAAAAAUAGAAAUUAAAAAUACCUCGACGUGCCCCGAGGCUCAGCUCACCUCUCGCAAUAUGAGUUGAUUUUUGAAAAGCAUAAAUUGAAAAAACAGAAAUUGAAAAUACCUCAGCGUGUGACAUGAGGCCCAACUCACCUCUCGCAAUAUGAGUUGAUUUUUUUGAAAGAUAGAAAUAAAAACAUCAAAACACCAAAAGAUGUCAUCUGGUGAAACUCGGUGUCCUUUCCUUUGAUUCAGUACAGCUAUCAUCGAAAUCUCUUGUUCUGCUGAAAUACAUGUAUAUGUCAUGCAUGAUGUUAUCAUGAAAUGCACAUGUUUGCCUUAAAUGCCUUUAUGAUCAUGCUAUGUGCCUUGGGCUUGCUUGCCAUAUGUCCUUUUCCGUCAUGAUUUUUGAUGAUCUGCGUUCAUUGCUUUGACUCUUGACUUUCUCUUCAGGCCUUGUACCCAUCCUCUAGCUUCACGACUAAUCUGUGUUUCUCAGAUAUCGUUCUUUUGCCCCUAGUUGAACUUUGUCCUUGCUUUGAGGCUCUUGUACUUAUCAAAUUCUUGUCCGAGUAAUGCUUAGCACUUCUUUUGUUUAGAAUAUGUCAUUUCACUAUUUAUCAUGUAAAUGAACCACAUAAUGAGAUGCAUGAAAAUGGUCAAGUAGGGACAAAAGAAUACCUCACAUUUAUUCAUUUCAAAUGUAGCAAACAAAGAAAGUUAAUCAAUGAUAGUAAAAAAAAGUGUCAUAAAGAGAAAGGGGAUCGUAUUUCAAAAAAUACAAAUGCUCUAGAUAUUCAACGCAUGAACUCUUCCACGUUCCUCAAUCAAGAAUCUUUUCAAGCAUGGCUUUCUUGCGUAAGAGAUUUCGAGUUUUCAGAAAUGCUUCAAAUACUAUAGUCUCUCUGUUUGACCCACCGUUCAAAACGCCUUACUUUUUAAGCCAGUGCUUGCUUCAUUAGAACGCCCUUUAGGGUUUUCAUCCGAAUCUUUUGUGUUAAUUAAGAUGUCCUUUUCGUGUUUUCACCUUGAUCACUCUCUCUUUUUCUUUUUUCUUUUCUUUUUUUUAAGAUGCCCUUUUUCGGGUUUUCAUCUUGAUUUUCCUUUUUUAAGCAUAAUAUUUCUUCACAGCAUCUGAAUUCACUAGAUUCGGUAACUCCUUCCCAUUUAUCUCAGUGAGAAUCAAAGCUCCGCUCGAGAAUGCCUUCUUUACGACAUAUGGUCCUUCCCAAUUUGGUGCCCAUUUUCCUCGUAAGUCCUUCUGUAUUGGAAGAAUCUUUCUCAGCACGAGUUCUCCUUCGUGGAAUUCUCUUGGUCGUAUUUUCUUGUCAUAGGCCGCGAUUAUUCUCUUCUGGUACAUCUGUCCGUGACAAAUUACCUUUAAACGUUUUUCUUCGAUGAGGUUUAACUGGUCAUAUCGAGCUCGAACCCAUUCUGCCUCCUCUAGUUUCGAAUCCAUUAAGACUCAUAAAGAGGGGAUCUCAACUUCGAUAGGUAGCACAGCUUUUAUUCUAUAGACCAGAGAGAAAGAAGUUGCCCCCGUAGAUGUCCGUACAGAUGUGCGAUAUGCAUAUAAAGCAAAUGGUAGCUUCUCGUGCCAAUCUUUUUAUGUCUCAGUCAUUUUCCCAAUAAUCUUCUUAAUAUUCUUGUUGGCUGCUUUAAUAGCUCCGUUCAUUUUCGGGCGAUAGGGUGACAAGUUAUGAUGCUUUAUUUGAAACUGCUCACACACUUGCUUCAUCAUUUUGUUGUUCAGAUUCAAGGCGUUAUCUGAAAUGAUUCUCUCAGGCAAACCAUAUCGACAAAUGAUUUCCUUUUUCAAAAAUCUGCAAACUGCAGUCUUUGUCACAUUGGCAAACGAAGCAGCUUCUAUCCAUUUUGUGAAGUAAUCAAUAACCAAAAAAAUGAACCGAUGUCCAUUAGAAGCUUUUAGGGAAAUUGGCCCCAUAACAUCCAUGCCCCACAUAGAAAAGGGCCACGGAGAAGUCAUGACAUGAAGGGGCGAAGGGGCAACAUGAAUCUUAUCACCAUAAAUUUGACAUUUGUGGCAUUUUCUUGCAAAACUAAUGCAGUCGCUUUCCAUCGUCAGCCAAUAGUAACCGAGUCUCAUAAUCUUCCUGGCCAUAGUGAAACCAUUGGCAUGUGUCCCACAAAUUCCCUCGUGGACAUCUUCAAGUAUUUUUCUAGCUUCAAUAGCAUCUACACAUCUCAAGAGCACUUGAUCUUUUCCUCUUUUGUACAGGAUGUUCCCAUCAAGAACAAAUCCUGCUAUCAUUCUUCUGAUUGUUUGUUUGUCAUUCUCAUUUGCUUGUUCGGGAUACUUUUGGUUCUUGACAUAUUCUAAGAUAUCAUGGAACCAUGACCAUCCAUCUGGCUCUUUUUCAAUGCUGAAACAAUGUGCAGGGACUUCAUAUAUGCUCAUUUGAAGAGGCAUUAUUUUUGUUUCUCUGUUUGCUUUGAACAUUGAAGCCAAAGUGGCCAGGGCAUCAGUCAAUUGAUUUUCUUCUCGUGGGAGGUAAUUAAAAGUUAUUUCUUCGAAUUCUUUAAUCAGCUCUGCCACUAGAUCACUGUAUUUGACUAGUUUCGAAUCUCCCACUUCCCAAUCUCCACGGAUUUGGUAUAUCACCAAGGCUGAGUCUCCGUAUACCUUUAAACUUUUGAUGUUUCAUCCAAUUGCUGCACGAAGUCCCAUGAUACAAGCCUCAUAUUCUGCUAUGUUAUUGGUACAGAAAAGUUCAGCCUGGCAGUGAGUGGGUAAUGAUUUCCUUCUGGUGAUACUAAGACUGCUCCAAUCCCAUGCCCCAAUGCAUUCGAUGCACCAUCAAAACUCAUCUUUCAUGACUUUUCUUUUGAUGACUCACAUUCUUUUUCUAUAAUGCACAUUAAGUCUUCAUCUGGGAAAUCAAAUCUCAAUGGCUUGUAUUCCUCCGUUGUUCGAGUUGCUAAGAAGUCAGCUAUUGCACUCCCUUUUAUCGACUUUUGGCUCACAUAGACGAUAUCAUAUUCUGAUAGUAAGAUCUGCCAUCGUGCCAUUCUUCCUAAGAGUGCAGGUGAUUCCAUCAUGUACUUUAUUGGGUCUUACUUUGAAAUUAGCCAUGUCGUAUAAUACAACAUAUAUUGCUUGAGUCUUCGAGCUACCCAAACCAGAUCGCAACAGCAUUUUUCUAUGGAUGAAUACUUUGCCUCAUAUUCAGUGAACUUUUUGCUGAGGUAGUAGAUCGCCUUUUCUUUCUUUCCGAACUCGUCAUGUUGCCCCAGUACGCAACCUAUUGAAUUCUCGAACACAGUCAAAUACAAUAUCAAUGGUCUUUCCGGCAUUGGUGGUACUAGCACUGGAGGACUAGACAAAUACUGUUUUAUCUUGUUAAAAGCCACUUGGCACUCUUCGUUCCAUUCUCCGGGAUUAUGUUUUCGAAUGAGUCGAAAGAUUGGGUCGCAUUGGUUGGUAAGUUGAGCGAUAAAUCGGGCGAUGUAGUUUAAUCUCCCUAAAAAUCUCUGACUUUCUUUUGCGUACGCGACGGUGGUAACUCUUAAAUGGCUUUUAUUUUAUCUGGAUCAACUUCAAUGCCUCUCUCACUGACAAUGAAGCCAAGCAAUUUUCCUGAGGUAGCCCCAAACGUACAUUUGGCCGAAUUGAGCUUUAGCUGGAACUUUUUCAGUCUGUCGAACAACUUCUUCAGGUUCAUUACAUGCUCUUCUUCCCCUCGGGAUUUAGCAAUCAUAUCAUCGACAUAGACCUCUAUUUCUUUAUGCAUCAUGUCAUGGAAUAACGUCACCAUAGCCCUCUGAUAUGUUGCCCCAGCAUUCUUUAACCCAAAUGGCAUCACCUUGUAGCAGAAUGUUCCCACAUUUUUACGAAGGUAGUUUUCCCAUAUCCUCAGGGGCCAUCUUGAUCUGAUUAUACCCCGAGAAUCCAUCCAUGAAAGAAAGCAAUGAAUGUUUUACUGUGUUAUCCACAAACGUAUCAAUGUGUGGUAAGGGAAAAUUAUCUUUGGGACUUGCUCGAUUCAGGUCACGAUAAUCCACGCACAUUCGUACUUUGCCGUCUUUCUUUGGUACCGGAACUAUGUUGGCCACCCACUCUGGAUAUUUGGAGGUUUGUAGGAAGCCAGCAUCAAAUUGCUUCUUAGCUUCCUCCUUUAUUUUCAACAUCUCAGGUCUCAUCCGUCUUAGCUUUUGUUGAAUUGGUUUGCAUUCUGGCUUCAAUGGGAGCUUAUGGACCACUACAUCUUCAUCUAAUUCUGGUAUAUCCUGAUAUGACCAUACGAAUACAUCUUUGUACUCACGGAGCAAAGCAAUCAAAUUAUUUUUUGUGCCCCUUGAAAUAGAGGUCCCAAUCUUCACUUCUUGCUUCCUUUCUUCAGCUCCCAAGUUUAUUGUUUCAACAAAUUCUUGAUGAGGCAAAAUCUGUUUAUCCUCUUGUUCCACUAUUCUUAGCAAGUCAGGAGACGAGACAAUACUCUUCAGCAUUUUCUUCGGCUUCAAAUUUUCCUAAACAAACAACCUUCUCAAAAUUGAUUUUAGGACUCGUAACGGGUUUGCUCAUGCAAUUGAUAUCUGAGCACCUGAAAAUUGAAUGGAAAAGGAAACUAUAGAGGGGCAUCCAAGUAUUGAAACCAACAAACUAAAUGUUAUGGUAUGGCAUGAGGCAAAUGUAAAGAUAGGCUAUGAAAUGAUUAUGGAAUUAGUGAUAAUGCGAAAAAUCGUGACAAAAUGCAUCUUCAUUAAUAUUCAUUUAAAUGAUAAAGAGCGAAUGCAAGCUCUUACAAAAGAAUUCUAUUAUAUCUAAGGACAUAACAGAAUGUUAACGUUUGAGCAUUACUCUGGAGACUUAUAAACUAUAAGAAGAUCCUCGGCAGUCCAAUUGUUCAACAUAAAACCCGAGGGACAAGGGCGUAUCUUUGAGACGUCUUUAUUCGCAUCAGCUUUUUUGUCAAUGACAUUUAUACUGAUAUUCUGAAAACCCUCUUCGAUCAUUAACACAUUAUGCUUUGUGCACUAUACUGCCCUGGGUAUAUCAUUCCCGCAGACGUAAAUGUUCUUGACAAAUAAGGGAAUUUCAUGGGCUCCCAUUCUGGUUCUCGGCCUAAUGUUCUCGCGAUCCUUCUUUCUUAAUCUUUCUUCCACUGCUUUCUUCUUUGACACAUGUCCGGCUGGAACCCUAAACCGUAUCUAGCCUUGUGGUGUACUGGCUUUAGAGCCCUGACUAUUCCUUGCAGAUAUCUCCCUAAACCUCUUUUCGCUCGAGCUCCCCUUCCUAUAGUCAACUUGACACCCAUUCUGGUAUUUCUCGACAGUUUUGGCACCAAAAUUCUAUUUCCCUCAGCGACAAAAGUGGCAUUGACAAAUUCAAUGGAUCAGAAGGAACAUUCUACUGCGUCUUUGCUUACUUCAAGAUAUGGCGCAUCAGCAGAGAUAGAUGCGAUAAUGUCUUCUCCCUCGACAGUGACCAAACAACCAUCCAUGAUCAACUUUAGUUUUUGAUGGAGAGAGGAUGGAACUGCUCUAGCAGAAUGGAUCCAGGGCCUUCCCUGAAGGCAGUUAUACGAGGGUGUGAUGUCCAUGACUUGGAACUCGACAUUGUAAAUGUAAGGGCCCACUUCUAAAGGGAUAUCAAUCUUUCCCAUGACUUCACGCAUUGUCCCAUUGAAUGCCCUUACCGUGGAAUGACAGGGCCUUAAAUAGGACAGAUCUAUCGGAAUUCUGAAAAGCGUGGCCAAAGGUAUGACAUUAAGUUCUGAGCCAUUAUCGAUAAGCACAUUCAGUAUUAUGUAGCCCUUGCAACGCGUCGUAAAAUGUAGUGCUUUCACAGAGCCUCUACCAUUGGGUGGUAUUUCAUCAUCACUAAAAGAAAUGAAAUUAUCCGCAUUUAAGUUGUUCACCCAUCUGUCCAGCUUCUUCAUGGAUAUAUUGUUUGCCACGUAAGCUUUAUUCAACACCUUCAGCAAAGCGUUCUGGUAUGGCUCCGAAUUUAGUAGCAGAGAUAAAAUCAAGAUUCGUUCUGGCUGCUUAUUCAAUUGUUCCACCACAUUGUAUUCACUGUGUUUGAUAAAUUUCAAGAACUCUUGUGCUUCCUCCUCAUCCACAGGCUUUUUAAUUUCUUGCACGGGUGGAAUUUCUUGCUCGACUUCGGCCUCAUGCAUCACUCUUUCCCUUUUUGCUUCCAGUCACUAUUCUUCUUCACUGGUUCGACCUCUUUCGAAUAACUUCUACUCCGGGUAAAAUGACCUACCUCUCCAACAUCUCCAGUUAUGGCUUUGAGCUUUUCAUCUUCCGGUGUGACGAUAUUGAUGUCAUAUUUCUAUGGUACAGCUUUGUCGUCCUUGUACGGGAAAGGAGACGGUACUUCGAUUAUCAUUUUUAGUUUCACCGACUCUUUCGUCGCAUCGUAAUAAAUUAUUAACGGUCGAUCCGCGCUAUAAGGGAGACCUAAUGACUGGUUGUCAGAAGUGCAUACUUCUCUUUCGUUGGUCUCUUCCCUCUUGUUAAGGACCUUAAUCUCCUUAUUAUCCAUCCGAUCUUGAAGCAACCUUUUAAAUUCCUCACACGACUGAAUGUCGUGUCCUACAAUUCCAUGAAAAUUGCAAAAACUUUGACCUUCUCCGAGGAUUCUAUCGGGGUGACAAAGCAAUCCUUUUUAACCAGUACCUCCCAGAUUUUCUGCAGAGGCGUCCUUAUUUUUAAAACACAUCUUCUGACUUUCCAUUCGUCAUCUUUCCCCACUGUGCUCACAUUCCCUUCAGCAUGGUUAGAGAAUGGGUUCCCAGUUGCGUUACUGGCACUAUCAAACCGUAAUAUACCCGCAUCAAUGAGUCCUUGAACUCUCCUCUUAAAGGCUAGGCAAUUCUCCGUGGAAUGCCCCUGGUUCCUCGCGUGGUAUGCACAACUAGCGUUUGGAUCGUACCACUUUGGGUAUGGAGGUUUAAGGGGUGCCAUGUAAUGGGGAGAAAGUAGCUGUUUCUCCAGAAGUUUUGGGUACAAUUCCCCAUACGACACAGGGAUAAGAGUAAAUUGCAGUCUCUCGGGAUUAGGCCUUGCUGGUCUUAGUUCGUUUCUAGGCUGGCUUUGAGUGGGUACCGUGUUUUGUGGGAAUGUGGUGACGGGUCUUUGGUUGUUCGUGGCGUAUACAGGGUAGGAAGGAGGUGGUGCUUGGUAGUAAGGGGUUUGAGGGGGAUAAUAGAAAUUUGGAGGUGGAUAACUUCAAGGUCGGGGUUGGUUUGGAUAUGGAUUAGGGGCAUAACGACUUCCCAUUCCCACCAUGUGGGCUUCUAGUUCUUUCUUCAUGGGUGCUACCCUUCUUGAACUUUCUUGACCUUCCAUUCUACCGCUCUUGACGGCGUUUUCUAUAAGCUCACCGGAUAUUACAAUAUCCGCGAAGUCCUUCGUAAAGCUUCCCACUAGUUUGUCAUAAAACAGCGUCUUUAAGGUGUUGAUAAAAAGGACGAUUAUCUCCGUUUUCAUUAGUGGGGGUUCCACUUGGGCUGAGAUGUCCCUCCAUCUCUGCGCGUACUGUCUAAAAGUUUCUGGCGACUUUUUCUCCAUCAUUUGUAAAGUCAUCCGAUCAGACACCAUAUCUAAUACAUGCUUGUACUGCUCACAGAAUACCGACGCCAAGUCUUUCCAAGAUCGGAUCCUUUCCUUACUGAGCUGGUUGUACCACCGAAGAGCCGAUCCUACUAGACUGUCUUGAAAACAAUGUACAAGUAGCUUAUCUUCGUUCACGUAACCGGUCAUUUUUCGGUAAAACAUGACAAGAUGUGCUUUUGGACAUCUUGUCCCAUCGUACUUUUCGAAAUCAAGCACCUUGAACUUCGGAGGCAAGAUUAGGUCAGGUACCAAACUAAGUUAUUUAGCACCUAGUACCGAGAAGACUUCAGUGUCUUCUAUUGCCUUGAGUUUUUCUUCCAAAUUCCUAUACUUCUCUUGAGCCUCGUGAUCAUCUAUUUUCAACUUGGCUAUUUCGACUGGAUCAUCUAAAUCUGGAACUACAGGAUUGGCAGGGGUUGUUCCGGGAUUUGACAUAAAUGUUCCUUGCACUAGAUGAGCAAAUGGCAUAGGUCGUUGUUCCAAGCCUUUGGAUUCCCCUUGAGUAUACCCUCUUUGUGCUACGUGGGAAUGUGGUGGAGUGAAUCUUGGAGGAUAGAGUGGAUCCUGGUCAUGAUUAAUUCUUGAUUGAGGUUCCAUACUGUAGGGGUUCUGCAUGGGUCCUUUUCUUUUGACCGAAACUGAUAUCAUCUCCAUCAUUCUAGCCAUUUGAUCAUUUUAUUCAAGUGAUUCCUCCCGAGAUCUUACUAUCAAAUCCCCCGUUUCUUGCUGUGACUUAGCCAAUUGUUCUUGUAAUUCCUUCUGGACUCUUUCCAUCUUUUCGAUCCUUUCAUUGAACUCAGCCUCCAUUGCUCUGGCUUGUCGACGCGUUUUAUACGAAUGGUGUGAUUUCAGAUUUAAAGUGUUGCAACUGCGAAUUAUAUGAUUCUAACCUUAACGAAUGAUUAUGGGAUAUGUAUAUGCAAUGAAUGGAUGAAUUGAUGCAAAAAGAGGCGUUGAUUCCAAUUCAAUUUCAUUAGAACUUCACUAGAAGAAAAAUUUCUUUACAUAGAACAGAUGAUUACAUAUACGACUUCGCCCUAAUGCCCAAAGUCUUUUCUUAAGAAGCCAAGCUAAGCUUCGGCCUCAGUCUGAUUCCGAAUCGUACUUUAAGCUCAAUAUAUCAGCCUGAACUGCCAAGGUUUGCAAGUGAUCAGUUAUCUCUCGAACCUAAGCUAUAGCUUCGCCCAUGACAAAGUCUCUAUCUCUAAUUUGGUUUUAAGAGUGGUGAAACUGUUCUCUGUAAUGGUCAUUGUUUGUCUCAAGAAGUCCCACUCAAAUUUUGCUAUCUUGCAGUGCGGUCUCGAGUUCUUCUAUUUUCCCUUUCAACUCUUCGAUCCUGCUCAGACUAGCCUUUAACUUAAUUAUCGAAUUAUGGCUAUGAUGCUGCUGAAGUAAUCUUUCCAAUUUAGCCACCUGAGCUCGUAACUUCUCUUUUUCAUUUUGGGUUUCUAACAAACUCUUCUUCAGAGUGUCCUCUCGUACUCGGGCAUCUUGAAAUCUUUUCUCCCAAUGGUCGGCUCUAGUCUUUUCCUCUUUAAUCUCUUGACGCCAUUGCUCAGACAUUUUACCUAAUCCGACAAUUUUUAUUGUUAUACGAAGCUUCUUGUAAUCGAUUUUCAGACUAUCUAAAUCUUCCUCGGCCUUGUUCUUUCCUUUCUUUAACUUCUCGGCCUCUAGCUUGUGGAAAUCGACGUCUAACCCCAACUUCAUUUUAUAUUCUUCUAACUACUCUAUCUUCUUCCCCAACUCCGAGUUUUUUUCUUAAAAUCUUGCUUAAUGAUCUCUAACUCAGAUGGGAUGACCCGUAAAUACUCCUCUAUCAGUUGUGUGUUCCCUUGAUUCUGCCUAGGGAUGUUGUCGUUGACUCUCCUACCCUACCACCAUUUAUACUCGGGGGUCGUCAUCGGGCCUGCAGUGAAUCCUUUCAUUCUUCGAGUUUGGUUCCAUGCAUCUAAUAUCUCGCGAACCCUCUUUUUAUAAUUGUUGUCUUUAUAGGGGAACUCACAUUUUGCCAACCCUUGUGUCACCGGUAUAAACUGCCUUGAUACUUCCUUAACACCAUCAAUGGAGCGUAUCCAAUGGCUCCCCAUAUUCCAACCAGAGGGACGCAGUCAAAAUCACCGCACCUAUAUAAGAUCUCGUCAGGAAUAAACCACGGAGCCCUCCAUUCAAUGUCUUCGGUCCGUAAAUUUUAGAGAAUAGUUAUCCACUUCUCUUCGGAGAUGUCGUCCCGCCUCGAUGUGGCCACUAAUUCUCUUAAUGGGGAAUAAUCCUUAGAGAAUACCCGAUAGGAGACCUUUUCCACCUUCUAAAAAUGACUAUGGAACCAAGCCAAAAGAAGCUGUGUGCAACCAAUAAAUCUUCCCUCGCCCGCUCUCCGGCAUGUAUUCAAGGAUCGAAAAGUUUCUGCUAGGAUUGUCAGGACGGGUGUGGUACCUUUAUCAAGUCGAUCGAAUAAAUCUGAGACGGUUUCAUCUAUGUGUCCAAGUGCUUUAGGAAAGACGAUCAAAUCGUAGACUUAAGGCAUAAACAUCAACCCUUUUCUUCGAAUCCGGGUGCGCAAGAAUAAAAUCCCUCAAAUUCCUCCAAUGAAUACAUUUACUAUCCCCUUUUUGCUUGAUGCGGGUCGCAACCCAUUGCUCGCUCAUCCCCGUGAUAUUCAUCAAUUUCUUCAAAAAGGGAGGGACAUUAACAGCUCUUGAAUAGGCCUUAUCGGCCUGAAUCUUUGGGCAAUUAAGUAACACCAUGUUUUCCUCCACCGUAGGUACUAAAUCAACUCCUCCGAAAGUGAAGCAACUGUAAGUGGGGUUCCAAAAUUGCGCGAGGGCCCGAAACAAGUACUUGUCCACCUUUACAUCGAGUAAAUAGGGUAGGCCGUCGUAGUUACAGUAAAAGAGUUGUUUGACUUCGCCAUUCUGACUAUUCCAUAUAUCCCUUAACUCUUGCAGGUCGUUCUGAGUCACACUGAUGCGAGUGAAAUCCCACAACUCCGAUUCAUAUCCCUCGGUCAAACUAUCUCCUUUCUCUUGUUGCGUUCUCUCAGACCACACUCGGACGGCCGCAUUAUCCUCCAUUCUAUCAAGAAAUCAUUUUUCCAUGCUAAACUCUUCUAAUUAGUAACCAAAUGUAAAUCAACACCCUUUUAUGAUGAAAUGUCAUACAAAAAUGAUCAAAAUACAACAAGUUAAUAUUAUAUACAAAGAAUAGAAUUCAAAGCAAAUAGUGAGUAAAUAAGCACCUAAUCAGGUAACCACUAGGGUUUGGUGUGGUUCUACUUAGGCUAGGCUCCUAGGGCUCAUUACAUGUAGUUUGGUUCUAAAGUAAAGGUACCUGAACCAGCAGAUUCCUCGAUCCUCACCCAUUAUAGGUUCAUACAGACCGAGUUCGAUUCAGGGGAAUACAUUUUCCUACGGCUAUACGGAGGUGAAAACCCCAUGAAGACGCAGGUACGGAUGUAUCCCGAAAGCGAUCCACUAUCCUAUACGGAGGUGAAUACCUCACGAAGAAGUAGGUUUUCACUUCCACUUAAGAGGGUGAAAUCAACCAAUAAUGCGAUGCGAUAUGCAAAGAUACCUCAAAGAAUUAAACCACUUAAAGCAAGCAUAUUAUGAAGAGUCGCGAAAAUAACAGACAACAUUCAAUGCAGUAAAUUUAAAAUUGAUUUUCAAUUUUUGACAAAAGAAAAAAAAAUCAAUUUAAGGCUCGACUCUCGAAGUCCCCAGUGGAGUCGUCAAGCUGUCGAAACCAUUCUUUUGAAAACGGAGAUCAGACUUUGUUUGAAAGUGAAAAUUAAAACGGGAGUCGCCACCAAUCUUUUAUCAGGUGUGAUCGGAUCACCUUUGUUUUAAUAAAUCAAUUUUAGUUUACUAAAACAAGGCCUUUGGUAUACGAAACUUGAGAGAAUGAGUUCGGGAGUCGAUUACGUGCGAAGAAGAAUUAGCACCCUCGACACGCCCAAAAAAUUGGUACCGAAUUGAUUAGUUAGUGUCUUAAUAUCGAAAAUUAAAAAUCGGGAAGGGGCUUGAAAUACGAUCUUUUCUAUUAAUACUGAUUUUAAAAUUCUUGAAUUAGCUUAAAUAGAUUUGUUUAAAGAUUUCCUUAUCUCGAGAUAUAGGAGUAUCACAUCCCGUAAGUUAGGACACAAUACCAUGAAUUCCCGAGCACAAGAUUGUCUUUUAAUUUAAAUUGGAAAUCCGUGCAUUUCAAAACUCAAAAGGAUAUUUAGCUAUUUAGAACCAACAAGAGAACCGAAACCCCGUAAGUUAGGGCACAAUUCUUCGAUGUUCCAAAAUGCGAAACAUUUAUCUUAUUUAUUGAAAUUAGUAAAAACAUGAAUAAAAAUCUUUAAAAUAAUGAACAACAGAAUGAUAUAAAAUAGGCGGGAGACAAAAAUAAACGAGUUGGAAAUACAUUGAAACAAAUAAUAAAUAUGACAACAAUAUUAAAACAAUAACAAUGCAUGCGAUAUAUUAAAUGUAAUAAUAGUAUCCAAUGUGAAAUAAAAACAACGAAUAUAUACAUAAUAAAGAUAUUAAGAGUAUGUACGUAAAAUAUAUAUAUAUAUUUAUAAAUAGUAAUAGUGUUAGAAAUAUACUAUAUAUAGUGUUUGAAGUAUAUACAUAAAAUAGUGAAAAUAUAACUAGUAAUGUUAAGAUAUAUAUAAUAUAUACAUAUGUAUGAAAUAGAUAUAAAAAAAAUAUGUACAUAAUAUAGUGUAAAAAAUACAUACAUAAUAUAAUUAAAAUAUAUACAUAAUAUAACAUGUAGAAAAAAAAAUAUAAAUAAUAUAGUAUUAAAGAUAUAUACAUAAAAUAGUAUAAUAUAUAUACGUAAUAUAGAAUUUAGAAUAUACCUAAUAUAUUAAAAGAAUAUAUAUAUAAUAUAAUAUUAAAAAAUAUAAUAAUAACAAAAAAAAGAGGGAGAGAGUGGGUGAUUUCCGACCACCGUCCGGUCACCGAACCGCCGCCGGCCGCUGUCAGUGCCACCGUACAUGGCAGCUGGACCUCAAAAAAACUUUUUCGGUAAAAAUGAGAAACCUUCCUCCUUUUAUUUUUACUUUCGUAUAAAAGAAACAAAAUAAAACUGAAAGGAAAACAAUAAGCAAACAAAGAACUUAAAACGAGAAUAGACCAAGAAACCUCUUUUGCUUUGAUAUUUGAUUAAUCUCCAAAAAAAAACUAGUCUCUCCAAAAACUAGCCUUUACAAUAACUCUUCUUCUUGAUAACUCUAAAAAAAACCUCUUAAAAAUCCUUUACAAUAACUUUCUCCCUCAAAACUUCUUCCCCUAAAUACAAAAUAUGAGAAGGCUUAUAUAGCCAUUUACCAAAUAUUUUUUAUUGUUUAUGUCCUCAUUUGUAGUUACAAGUGGUGGUAAAGCAAGUGUGGCUAAUGGAGUAGGUGGUGGAGCAAGUGUGGGUAGUGAAAUAGGUGGUAGAGCAAGUGUGGCUAGUGGAGUUGGUGGUGGCAAAAGAUAGGAUUUAGUUGAGAAAAAUUUAGGUUGUGGGCUGGGGUUUUUUUAUUUUGAUUUGGGCUUAGGGUUUGGGCCAUUGGGAUUUUGAUGUAAAUUGGGCUUUGAGUAGUUAAGAUUUUGGGUUUUGGGUUUAAUUUUGAUGGGUUAGGUAAGGGUAAAUUGGAUUUUGAUGUAAAUGAGUUUAAAUUGGCCUACAACAUCUAUAUUACAGAAGAAUGAUGGCGUCCGCAACUUACCGAAGGUGCCCAAACAGGACGGAAAUGAAGGAGCAUGUUUUUAGGGAGUGUCCUAUUGCAAAUGAGACAUGGGAAAAGUUAGGCUUUAACUGGCCUACUUUUGGGGAAAGUACUGGUUUUAAAGAUUGGCUUAAAUGUAUUUUUGAGUUAAACUCUUUGAACAAGUGUAGGGUGAUUGCAUUUGCUAUGUGGGUGAUCUAGACAUCAAGAAACAGGUUUAUUCAUGAAGGUUAAGAACAAUCUGGGACUCAAAUGGCAGAUUUCAUAACAAACUACAUCAAAGAACUUGAUGGGUUGAGUAUGCGCUUACCAGUGAAUGGUUUCAGACGGGUAGAUGGGUCGUGCCGACUAACCCGUAGGUUAGAAUCAACUUUGAUGCUGCUUUUAAUAAGGAGAAGAAUGAGUCAUGCUCGGGGUUAGUAAUACGGAAUGCUAGGGCAGAGGUGAUUUGCUCAAAAUCAGUUAUUCAUAAGAAUAUACCUUCUGCUUUUGCUGCGGAAGUGAUGGCAUAUCUCCAGGCGGUCCAUCUUGGGUUAUCUCUUGAGUUGAGAGAGGUUGAGAUUAAAGGUGACUCGCGAUCGGUGAUUCAGAAACUGCAAAAAGGAAAGGAAGACAGAUCAGAAAUCGAAGUUUUCAUUAAAGAUUCAAAGUAUCUGAGCCUUGGCUUUGAAUCCUGUAUUUUUCGGUGUAUCCCUAGAGAAUCUAAUAAAAUUGCUCAUUUCAUAGCGAAAGAGGGAUUAUAGAAGAACGAAUCAACUUAUCUGCUGGGCAUGGUUUUGAUUGGAGCGGAGGAAGCUAUGGUGGCCGAUCAAAGUUGGAGGGUUUCUUUGGGGGACUGAAUCGUUGGAUUUGCUGUUGGAAAGAUUUAGGAUGAAGUUUGAAAAGCCAGGAUGAUUUGUGAUGUUUAGAAGUUUUUCUGUGGAAAUGAUGGCUCUUGCUGAGAAUUAAAGAAAGCACAUCGAUUCACAGGUGGCUUUGUUGCUUUUGAGGGAUAGGUUUAUUAAAUGGUUUACAGCUGGCUAAAGAAGUCUCUAGAGCUACCCGUCUUGCUUUGCUGGAUCUUUUGUUGUUUUAUUUUGUUUCUGUUUUUUGGCCCGGGAUUGUUCGGCUUGGUUUUGGGAUAUUUGUUUUGGAUUUGUUUUGUCUUAUUGAAUAUAAGAUCUAGAUGUUUUACUCAAAAAAAUAAUUUUUUGAGAGAUAUAUUAUAUAUUUAAAAUUUUUUAA
rnacentral:lncRNA from 1 species